rfam:Ascaris suum AG00752, whole genome shotgun sequence.
GCACGGAUGGCCGAGUGGUCUAAGGCGCCAGACUCAAGCAAUCGGCUUCCUGCAAGCAAGUAGGGAUGGGCGUUCUGGUAUGGGAAUCCAUGCGUGGGUUCGAAUCCCACUUCGUGCA